AAGUUAAUACUGGUAGGUAGGUAGGUAGGUAGGUUAAUGUGUAACUGCAUGUGAAAGUUAAUACUGGUAGGUUGGUUUAUGUGUAACUAUGUGAACGUUAAUACUGGUUGCUAGGUAUGUUUGUUAAUGUGUAAUGUGGGAUCACAUUAUAAAAUAAAUGUUUUUCUCCAAAACA